GCCGCACCUCUUCCGGAUGAGACCACACACCCCCUCAGGACUCCGGCAGUACCGUCCCAGGGACUGCAAGACUUUGGAGCUGACAGCCAGUCGGGCCCUGUCAGGGUUCCAGCGACAGGCAACAAAGGUGACAAGCGACAGGAAGGGCCCCUGCAAAGUUCCAGCAACAGGCAGGACUCAGAGUGGAAAAUCAAGGAAAGCAAAGAGAAAAUGACAGACACAGGACAAGCCUACAAAGAGCAAACAUCAAGCCUAGCAGACGCUCGCCACUCAUCCUGAGGCUAUUGUAUGGCCACUAGCUCCUUGGAUGGAAGCUGAAAGCCUCUGCUCCCCCAGGAGACCCAGGCAGCAAUGCAAACUGGCAGCGUACCCUGAUAUCAGAGCUUGCACUUCAUAUCAGCACCUUUGACCCAUCCUGGUGCAGCUAAAGGACACGCUGUAGACAUUUAAUGGUCUGUACUUCUUGCUACUAUUCCUCAUCUCUCCCCUCCCUUUCAUUUUUCCUUUCCCAUACAUAACAGUGCAGGAAAAAAAUAAAUCAAUUGAUAUUUGAAAAAAUAUAUACCUAGAAUGGAUGGAUGUUUGAAAGAAUGUUAAGCAGAAGUCUCACAAGAGUCUGUGACAGUUGGACCCUCAAGCCUGGAGAGCUGGAGAUGUCAGUAACUUGAUGUAACUGAGAAAACUGCUUAAACAAAGAUUGUAACUUGCUAAAAUUAAGCUUUAGUCAC